GACGAACGCUGGCGGCGUGCCUAAUACAUGCAAGUCGAGCGAAGUUUUUCUGGUGCUUGCACUAGAAAAACUUAGCGGCGAACGGGUGAGUAACACGUAAAGAACCUGCCUCAUAGGCUGGGACAACUAUUGGAAACGAUAGCUAAUACCGGAUAACAGUAUUUCUCGCAUGAGAGAUAUUUAAAAGUUGGUUAUGCUAACACUAUGAGAUGGCUUUGCGGUGCAUUAGCUAGUUGGUGGGGUAAAGGCCCACCAAGGCGACGAUGCAUAGCCGACCUGAGAGGGUGAUCGGCCACACUGGGACUGAGACACGGCCCAGACUCCUACGGGAGGCAGCAGUAGGGAAUCUUCCGCAAUGGGCGAAAGCCUGACGGAGCAACGCCGCGUGAGUGAAGAAGGAUUUCGGUUCGUAAAGCUCUGUUGUUAGGGAAGAAUGGAUAUGUAGUAACUAUACAUGUAAGAGACGGUACCUAACCAGAAAGCCACGGCUAACUACGUG
rnacentral:rRNA from 1 species